rnacentral:rRNA from 1 species
CUCCUACGGGAGGCAGCAGUGGGGAAUAUUGCGCAAUGGGCGAAAGCCUGACGCAGCAACGCCGUGUGAGGGAUGAAGGCUUUCGGGUCGUAAACCUCUGUCGGAAGGGAAGAACGGGUGGUGGUCUAAUAGGCCUCCAUUUUGACGGUACCUUUAGAGGAAGCACCGGCUAACUCCGUGCCAGCAGCCGCGGUAAUA